rnacentral:misc_RNA from 1 species
AACGUUAUAUCACGGGGGCCGGCCUUGAAUUGCCUGCAGUUCCAUUGUAAACGGCUUUUGCCGAUUGCAAUGUGAUACUCGGCAUUUCUCCCCGCCCUGUCGGAACAUUACCCAUGAUUUUUGCGUACCCAUUGUUUCCUCGGCAGGCUUGCCUGCCAGUAGGACCCUUUUAAACCUUUUUGCAAUUGCAGUCAGCGUCAGAAAAACUUUAAUAGUUA